GGGAGCUUUCAAGUCUCCUCCACGAUUGACGGUUUAUCAGCCACCUCGUCUUCUUCCUCUUCCGUCUCCUUUGAAAGCCGAAUUGCCUCUUCGAUCCGGAUUACUUGCAACACUGCAAAUAGCCAAAAGGUCCAAAACCUAAAUGAGGGUUGUCACUGAACUACCAGUUAAAUGUAUUCUCAGGCGAAUCUAUCCCAUGAAGGGAACAUGGAGAACGAUGACCAUAUCUGUGCCAAAUAAGCAAGAAAAUGAGGAGCUUGGUGGAUUAUAUCGCGUAAUGAACGAAAAGGUUGAACCACUUGUGGCAUUCAACAAGCCACGGCUUCCACCUGUUCUUGGCCCUUUGGUUGUUCUCUCAUUCCUGGAGAUGUUAAGCAGUAAUGGGGAUGAUUAGAGAGAUACCAUCUCACAUCGUCAUGUGUAGUGUCGAUGCUUGAACUUGUAGAAUGGACAAAGAAAUGAACUUGUUGGGCAUUUGCUCGCUGGUAUGUUUAGUUUAUAGCUGCGCAUUUGAACUGCAUAUUUCCAAAUAUUGGUAUACUAUGAAAAAUGGAAGAAUCAAAGGCUCCCCAAA